GGAACCUUUCAGGCCUGCUUUAUACACUAUAAAGAAGCAAAAAGGGCACAGAACCAUUUAAUGCUUGACAACCCUGUGCACCUGAUGGAGCUUCACAACCUUGUCAGUUCCUGAGGCAGAAAAAACAAGAGGAGCCUAUUUGCUGCUGCUUGCCUGCACUCUACUUCCAGAAGAC